rnacentral:snRNA from 1 species
GGAUGUGAGGGUGACCUGGCUGUGAUACCUGUCACCCCAUUGAUUGCCAGGGUUGAUUUGGCUGACCUGGCUGGCCAGGCGGGUGUCUGCUUCCUCCCUCACCACUCCAUGUGCAUCCCUCCCGGAGCUGCACACUCAGUCCAUAGUGGAGGACCGUUUCCUUGGUCGAGGGUAUCUGAGUAGCUUCGCUCCCCUGCUAGAACCUCCAAACAAGCUCUCAAGGUCCAUAAUGAGUUCAAGGCCAGCCUAAACUACAUAGAGAAAUCCUGUCUCAAAAAUAUAAAACA